AUACGUAGGGUGCAAGCGUUAAUCGGAAUUACUGGGCGUAAAGCGUGCGCAGGCGGUAAUGUAAGACAGUUGUGAAAUCCCCGGGCUCAACCUGGGAACUGCAUCUGUGACUGCAUUGCUGGAGUACGGCAGAGGGGGAUGGAAUUCCGCGUGUAGCAGUGAAAUGCGUAGAUAUGCGGAGGAACACCGAUGGCGAAGGCAAUCCCCUGGGCCUGUACUGACGCUCAUGCACGAAAGCGUGGGGAGCAAACA
rnacentral:rRNA from 1 species